GUGGGGAAUAUUGGACAAUGGGCGCAAGCCUGAUCCAGCCAUGCCGCGUGUGUGAAGAAGGCCUUCGGGUUGUAAAGCACUUUNGGCCGGGAGGAAGGGGAGNNGGUUAAUACCNNGNGNUANUGACGNUACCNGCAGAAUAAGCACCGGCUAACUCCGUGCCAGCAGCCGCGGUAAUACGGAGGGUGCAAGCGUUAAUCGGAAUUACUGGGCGUAAAGCGCGCGCAGGCGGUUUGNUAAGUCAGAUGUGAAAUCCCCGGGCUCAACCUGGGAACUGCAUUUGAAACUGGCAGGCUAGAGU
rnacentral:rRNA from 1 species